rnacentral:tRNA from 1 species
UACUCAGUAGUUAAUAAAAUAACAGUAGAUUGCAAAUCUAAAAUAACCGCUGGUCUGGGUUU